rnacentral:lncRNA from 1 species
UCCAUGGCUUGGUGGCUACAUGGAAGACGUCGACAUUGAUUUCUCUUUACUUUGAUUGUCCAAACUUAAUUGCUUCUUCUUAGCCUGCAUGUGUUUUUUGAACAGUUCGUGUGUUUAUUUCCUUGUUCGGAUAUGGUACUCUCUUCAUUCGGCGCUUUUUUUAAUCUUUCUCGACAAUUAUUUUAUGUAAAGCAAAUAUCUACUAUAGAUUGAUAUCAUUAAGUUUCAACUUGCGAUCAAUUCUAAAUUGCCACUACAUGCGUCAAGGAUUUGCAGAAGAGAAUAU